GACGAACGCUGGCGGCGUGCUUAACACAUGCAAGUCGAACGAAAAGCCCUUGCUUUUUUCGGGUGCCCAUCUGGGUAACGAGUGAGUGACUCACGAGUAACCUGCCCUUCCUUCUGGGAUAGACUCAGGAAACUAGGGACUACACCUGAUAGAAACUCCCGCUCCAUGGUGGGGGUGGGAAAGUUUCGGCGGCUGGGGAUGAUCAUGCGGCUGAUCAGCUAGUUGGUGGGGUAGUGGCUCACGAAGGCGGUGUCGAGUCGCCGGACUGAGAGGAUGAACGGCCGCACUGAGACUGAGACACGGCCCAGACUCCUACGGGAGGCAGCAGGACGGAAUCUGCCGCAAUGAACGGAAGACUGACCGCGCAACGCCGCGGCAGUAAUGACCACCGUCGGGUUGGAAAGCUCGGUUAUUGGGGAGGAAAGGGCUUCUGGCUGAUACGAAGAAGGAUUGACGGUACCGGAAUAGAAAGCAACGGCUAACUACGUG
rnacentral:rRNA from 1 species